GUCCUGGCCCUAAACGAUGUCCACUAGAUCGCGGAGCGGUUUGACCCGCUCGCGGUCGGAGCAAAAGUGUUAAGUGGACCGCCUGGGAAGUACGGUCGCAAGGCUAAAACUCAAAGGAAUUGACGGGGGCUCACACAAGCGGUGGAGCAUGUGGUUCAAUUCGAAGCAACGCGCAGAACCUUACCUGGGCUUGACAUGCUUGGAUUAUCCCGAUGAAAGUCGGGUAGGCCCCGCAAGGGGUACAACAAGUACAGGUGCUGCAUGGCUGUCGU
rnacentral:rRNA from 1 species